AACGAACGCUGGCGGCAUGCCUAACACAUGCAAGUCGAACGAGACCUUCGGGUCUAGUGGCGCACGGGUGCGUAACGCGUGGGAACCUGCCCUUAGGUUCGGAAUACUCCCCGAAAGGGGUGCUAAUACCGGAUAAUGUCCUCGGACCAAAGAUUUAUCGCCUUUGGAUGGGCCCGCGUUGGAUUAGCUAGUUGGUAGGGUAAAAGCCUACCAAGGCGACGAUCCAUAGCUGGUCUGAGAGGAUGAUCAGCCACACUGGGACUGAGACACGGCCCAGACUCCUACGGGAGGCAGCAGUGGGGAAUAUUGGACAAUGGGCGAAAGCCUGAUCCAGCAAUGCCGCGUGAGUGAUGAAGGCCUUAGGGUUGUAAAGCUCUUUUACCCGGGAUGAUAAUGACAGUACCGGGAGAAUAAGCUCCGGCUAACUCCGUG
rnacentral:rRNA from 1 species